rnacentral:misc_RNA from 1 species
AAGUCGUAACAAGGUUUCCGUAGGUGAACCUGCGGAAGGAUCAUUAAUGAUUUUUUAAGCAAACCAAGCGAAAGCGAGGUUUUGCGAAUAUAUUUAAAACCCCACUCUUAAAAAAAAUUUUCAUUCAUUCAUAAUGUGAAUAAAAAAAGAUCACUUUCAACAACGGAUCUCUUGGUUCUC